UACAGAGGAUGCAAGCGUUAUCCGGAAUGAUUGGGCGUAAAGCGUCUGUAGGUGGCUUUUUAAGUCCGCCGUCAAAUCCCAGGGCUCAACUCUGGACAGGCGGUGGAAACUACCAAGCUGGAGUACGGUAGGGGGCAGAGGGAAUUUCCGGUGGAGCGGUGAAAUGCGUAGAGAUCGGAAAGAACACCAACGGCGAAAGCAUCUGGCUGGGCCGACACUGACACUGGAGAGACGA
rnacentral:rRNA from 1 species